GGGUGCGAUCAUACCAGCACUAAUGCACCGGAUCCCAUCAGAACUCCGCUGUUAAGCGUGCUUGGGCGAGAGUAGUACUAGGAUGGGUGACCUCCUGGGAAGUCCUCGUGUUGCACCCC
rnacentral:rRNA from 1 species